CGAAAGGAACGCUAAUACCGCAUACGUCCUACGGGAGAAAGCAGGGGACCUUCGGGCCUUGCGCUAUCUUAUGAGCCUAGGUCGGAAUAGCUAGUUGGUGAGGUAAUGGCUCACCAAGGCGACCAUCCGUAACUGGUCUGAGAGGAUGAUCAGUCACACUGGAACUGAGACACGGUCCAGACUCCUACGGGAGGCAGCAGUGGGGAAUAUUGGACAAUGGGCGAAAG
rnacentral:rRNA from 1 species